UACGUAGGGGGCAAGCGUUGUCCGGAAUCAUUGGGCGUAAAGAGCGUGUAGGCGGUCCGGUAAGUCGGCUGUGAAAGUCCAGGGCUCAACCCUGGGAUGCCGGUCGAUACUGCCGGACUAGAGUUCGGAAGAGGCGAGUGGAAUUCCCGGUGUAGCGGUGAAAUGCGCAGAUAUCGGGAGGAACACCGAUGGCGAAGGCAGCUCGCUGGGACGGUAUUGACGCUGAGACGCGAAAGCGUGGGGAGCAAACAGG
rnacentral:rRNA from 1 species